UACGAAGGGUGCAAGCGUUAAUCGGAAUUACUGGGCGUAAAGGGUUCGUAGGCGGUUCGUUAAGUCUGUCGUGAAAUCCCCGGGCUCAACCUGGGAAUGGCGAUGGAUACUGGCGAGCUAGAGUGUGUCAGAGGAUGGUGGAAUUCCCGGUGUAGCGGUGAAAUGCGUAGAGAUCGGGAGGAACAUCAGUGGCGAAGGCGGCCAUCUGGGACAAAACUGACGCUGAAGCACGAAAGCGUGGGGAGCAAACAGG
rnacentral:rRNA from 1 species